rnacentral:sRNA from 1 species
AGAUAUCAGGGUCACAAGGUCUAAACCCACAUGAGCUUGCUCAUAAGUGGGUUUAGACCUUGUGACCCGCCCCAAUAUCUUUUUUAGUACAGCAACUCAGAUACUACAAACACAGGGCAUUUGCCCGGAUUGGAGAUUUUU